rnacentral:rRNA from 1 species
UACAGAGGUCUCAAGCGUUGUUCGGAUUCAUUGGGCGUAAAAGGUGCGUAGGCGGCGCGGUAAGUCGGGUGUGAAAUCUCGGAGCUUAACUCCGAAACUGCAUUCGAUACUGCCGUGCUUGAGGACUGGAGAGGAGACUGGAAUUUACGGUGUAGCGGUGAAAUGCGUAGAUAUCGUAAGGAAGACCAGUGGCGAAGGCGGGUCUCUGGACAGUUCCUGACGCUGAGGCACGAAGGUCAGGGGGAGCAAACGGG